rnacentral:rRNA from 1 species
AAUUCGAUUAGAGUUUGAUCCUGGCUCAGAUUGAACUGCUGGCGGCAUGCCUUACACAUGCAAGUCGAACGGCAGCACGGGAGCUUGCUCCUGGUGGCGAGUGGCGAACGGGUGAGUAAUACAUCGGAACGUACCCAGGAGUGGGGGAUAACGUAGCGAAAGUUACGCUAAUACCGCAUAUUCUGUGAGCAGGAAAGCGGGGGAUCGCAAGACCUCGCGCUCUUGGAGCGGCCGAUGUCGGAUUAGCUAGUUGGUGAGGUAAAAGCUCACCAAGGCGACGAUCCGUAGCAGGUCUGAGAGGAUGAUCUGCCACACUGGGACUGAGACACGGCCCAGACUCCUACGGGAGGCAGCAGUGGGGAAUUUUGGACAAUGGGGGCAACCCUGAUCCAGCCAUGCCGCGUGAGUGAAGAAGGCCUUCGGGUUGUAAAGCUCUUUCGGCGGGGAAGAAAUGGCAACGGCUAAUAUCCGUUGUUGAUGACGGUACCCGCAUAAGAAGCACCGGCUAACUACGUGCCAGCAGCCGCGGUAAUACGUAGGGUGCGAGCGUUAAUCGGAAUUACUGGGCGUAAAGCGUGCGCAGGCGGUUUCGUAAGACAGACGUGAAAUCCCCGGGCUCAACCUGGGAACUGCGUUUGUGACUGCGAGGCUAGAGUACGGCAGAGGGGGGUAGAAUUCCACGUGUAGCAGUGAAAUGCGUAGAGAUGUGGAGGAAUACCGAUGGCGAAAGGCAGCCCCCUGGGUUAGUACUGACGCUCAUGCACGAAAGCGUGGGG